rnacentral:rRNA from 1 species
CAGCAGCCGCGGGAAUACGGAGGGCGCGAGCGUUACCCGGAUUUACUGGGCGUAAAGGGCGUGUAGGCGGCCUGGGGCGUCCCAUGUGAAAGGCCACGGCUCAACCGUGGAGGAGCGUGGGAUACGCUCAGGCUAGAGGGUGGGAGAGGGUGGUGGAAUUCCCGUAGUAGCGGUGAAAUGCGCAGAUACCGGGAGGAACGCCGAUGGCGAAGGCAGCCACCUGGUCCACUUCUGACGCUGAGGCGCGAAAGCGUGGGGAGCAAACCGGAUUAGAUACCCGAGUAGUCCCUGUCUCUUAUAA